AUUAGUUUUGGUUUUGCUUCGUUAGUAUAUUUUUUUUUAUUCUAUGAAAACGUUCUCUGGUCUUUGGUGCAAUUGAUUGUCUUAAACAUUGGUGUAUCAAUGGUAUGGAUAAAACCAAUGGAUUGGUGACAUGUUCAAUCAAAUUGCUCAGUUUUUGCCUUAUUGGAAAUAGCCUCUGCAAUUUGAGUGAACCUUAGAACAUAAAUCCAAUUCCAUUUACUUCAAAGAUACGAGUUGAGAGAAAAAAGAGCUAUUACUUGCAAAUUAUACAUCUAAACAACCACUCUUUCUCCUCUUGCACUCACACGAAGCAAACACUGAAGCAAAAUACAGAUAAAAGUCGCUCACUUUCCGGGAACGAAGUUGGUGGCGAAGGCCCAAGCGUUGUUGUUGACUGGAUCGGCCAAAUGGUCAGCAAGGUUCUCCAACGGUCCCUUACCGGUGACGAUGGCUUGAACAAAGAAUCCGAACAUAGAGAACAUAGCCAAUCUCCCGUUCUUGAGCUCCUUCACCUUCAGCUCAGCGAAGGCCUCUGGGUCGGUAGCUAGGCCCAAUGGGUCGAAGCUGCCACCUGGGUAAAGCAAGUCAUCGGCCUCUCCCAACGGCCCAUUUCCGGCGACUCUGUAACCUUCAACGGCUCCCAUCAAGAUCACUUGAGUGGCCCAAAUCGCAAGAAUGCUCUGAGCGUGAACCAAGCUUGGGUUUCCCAAGUAGUCGAGUCCUCCUUCACUGAAGAUCUGUGAACCGGCCUUGAACCAAACCGCCUCUCCGAACUUGACUCCGUUCCUGGCCAGCAGCUCCGGGAAGACGCAGCCUAGGGCUCCGAGCAUGGCCCACCUGGAGUGGAUAACUUCUAGCUCACGGUUCCUUGCGAAUGUCUCAGGAUCGGCUGAGAGACCGGCUGUGUCCCAUCCGUAGUCUCCGGGGAACUCGCCGGUGAGGUAGCUUGGUGGCUCGCCGGAAAAUGGACCCAAGUACUUGACUCUGUCGGAUCCGUACCAUGGGCUGCCUGAUGGGCCCUUUGGUUUGGCUACGGUCUUCCUCAUCGUCACACGGCCGCUUCCGAGGACUUCUGAUGCCGCUGGAGAAAUCUUGACGGCCUUUCCGGCGAAGGCAGGGGAGGAGAGAGCCAUUGUUGAGGCAGCCAUUGCGGUUAAGUGCGGAGCAAAAUAAAAAAAAACGUUUAUUUAGUUGUUGUUGUGAGCCAAGAAAUGGGUGGUUUGGCUUUGAUGAGCUUUUCGGUAUUUAUAAUAUGAAGUCGAAAUAAUGUCUUAUCUUAAGAGUAUCAAUCGCUGAUGUUUCUAUUGGCCAGUGACAUAUUUUUUUUGGGUUUAUAUUUUUUUGUUUGCUUACGUGGUGGUAAUUGUGUGUCCCACUUAAUAUAGCUCGCAGUUGAUGAUAUGCGUUUUAAGUUUUCAGGAGAUGGUGAAACAUCCACUCAUGAAGUGCCACGUGUAAGACUCGAUCUCUCUAUCCUUUUGAAAUCCCGAGUGCAUCAAUCAAAAAAAAAAAAAAGUAGAAUAAAUUGUAUAUUACAUUAGAGUGUACCUUUUCUAAUUAUAUUUUUAUAUGCUCUUUCUCUGAAUCUUUUCUUAUAAAAUUUUAGAAGAUUAAUAAUGAUCCCUGGCUAGAGAAGACGAUAAUAGCUAGCAAAGUAGAUCAUACUUCGUAAUAUCUUUAUUAGCAACUUGAUCUAUAAUGUUAAUGCAUGUAUCAGUGCCAGCAUAUCAUUGGAGACCAGAUAAUGGUUAAAUCCCCCAUCAUGAUCACUUGAUCAGGGUCAUGGUCAUUCGACAAAAAUUCAUAACCACGGGUCAUGGCCAUAGCCACAAUGCCCACAACACAAGUCGGUUCCUUCCUCACAUUUGUGAUGCGUGCAACUUAAAGUUACAAUAAGCAAAUUCCAAUUCCAUCAAACCCGUAAAUACACUGAAAACCAUCUAUUAGCUAACCCAAAUAUUGAACCAAACUCAUCUCAACCGAACAUUAAACAAGAUGUAAAAAUAUGCUUACCAUUUGUGGAAGAGGUGGGAGAAUGUCUUGAAUACAUUUUGUAUCUCAAUCAUUUCUAAUUAAUGCAAGUGCCAAGCUAACGCCAAUUCUAGAUUGUGAAAACAUUUUUUUUUUUUUUAAAUAGCUUUUAGCAAUAUUUUCUUCGACCUGAUCUUGAAGCUAUUUUGUUUGGCUGCUAAAUUAUUUGAUUUCUCUAUUCAUGGUUAUUUUAUUCAACUUUUGGAUUUAAAUUGAUGACAUUUGUUUUUUUUGUACGUUCCUUUCAUUAUAGGAUGAUCGGUACAAAUAUCAUUAAUGAUAUGAUUUUAAGAUAUUUUAAAGCUUUGAGCUUUGUGAAUAAAAAAAAAAUAGUUAGGGAUCGACAACAUUGAGCCACGUUACGUUUCAAGAAGCUCCUCAAGGUGCAUGGACGACGACUUUCAAGGACUUCUCCAUAUCAGUUGAUAAAAUAUUUAUCUAUGGCACUUGUGUGUAUUUUUAGAAAAUUUUGCAAUCCGUAUCGCAUCAAUUAUGAUAGACUCCUUAAUAUAAAAUUCAGUCAGCACCUUCGAAUUUGGCUAUAGGCUAUACAAGCCUACAAACUCAAAAACACAACACAUUUUAAACCAACAAAAAGGGCCCAAGGUUUAAUAAACUACACAUAUUAUAGAAAUAUUUUGUAAUCAGGCAUCAGGGUUAGUGAACAUUUUAAGGUUUGCAAACUGAUCACAAUGAACAUGAUAAUGAGCCGUGAUCUCGUGGCUUCCCGUUCUCAUAUCUGGAAGAGGGCCUGAACAACGGUCGCUGCUCCGGCGUCGUCGGCUAACGUCAAGACCUCUGUUACCGCUCCAUCGGCGGCGGUGGCUGGCGUCAAGGCGACAAGCGAUGGAUCUUCUUCGACUUCUGAUGAUGAGAAGGCGAAGGCGAAGGUGGCCGCCAGAGAGAAGAGUAAGGUAUUAAAGACACUAAUCUUCUAUAACCAUGCGACCAACCCGAGCAUUGCCCAAGUCAUAUAUAUAUAUAUAUAUAUAUAUAUAUAUAUAUAUAUAUUUAUUGCUACACACGCGUUAUAUCAAACAAAGCAUACUGCAUAAAGAAAGUUACCCUCUUCUUAUGUAGCAACAACCUCGACACUGUUUUAUGAUUUCUCCUCUGCAUCUCUCAACAUCUUUCAGUCUAUACUGUUGCGUCCCUGUCUGAUUCAUUGUGAUCACGAAACUGACCCGCGUAUGCGUCGUUCCUUUUUGUUUCUUGUAUAUCACGUUAGUGGUCUUCUGAUUUUUACGUUUGUGUCUUUCGUGCUUUCUUUGAAUUUUUUUUGUUUAGUUUUUCGCUCUCUUAUUAGUUUUUGUUGUGUUUUCGUUUCUGAUCAAUUGUGUUUUCGAGGUAUCUGUUUCUUGUGUAACACGUUAGCGAUCUUCAAAGUUUUGCGUUCCUGGCCUCUAAUGGAACCUAUGCGACGGUACAACCCUCUUGAUAUAUAUAUGCAUCGGAACCAUUGUUGAUUUUAGCAACGUCAAAAGCCCUUGAAUACCCAAUUUUCCACCUUCCUGUUCCAAUACGAUUCGUCAGGGAGCUAAGAUAUGAAACUUUAAUUUCUCCCUGGCGAUACCAUUUCAGGAUUCUGGACUGAAAUAUCGAGACAAUGGAAGAGGGGUUUUCUUUUGCUCGGGGAAAAAAAUUAUUUGGGGUUUUUGACCAAAACUGGUGUAAUUUGGGGGGGGGGGAGGUUUUUUUUUCCCAACUAAUUGACCAAUUGCAUGUCUCGGAAGAUACUGCAACUGAAAAAUGAAUUGGAUGUCAGCAAAACCAACAAACAAUACAAACACAUAAUUUUUUAAAAAACAUGUUUAUCGUUAAGCUUAUAGAAUCGCAACCAAAAUAUUAGUUUGCAAAAAAUAUAUGGCUGCUAAAAAACUACAAAGUGCAAUAUCAUUUCUUUAACAAACACGGAAUAUUAGCUAUUUUCCCUAAAACACUAAAAAUGAAAAAAAAGCAUUGGGCACUAAAUUAAGUACCUCAACGAAGUCCUUGAACAAUCGUUUAGGAAACCACAAGGGUUUAUGCACAGCAAUGGUGAAGAGAGCCUUAAGUCCCUUAACCAAAGUUGGUAACAAGAGUUCCUUCGAAGAACUAAAACCUUAACCGGCUCAAGUUGGACUCACUAAUCGUGUCGGUCGUCGUGAGUAUCGAACCGGACACAACCAUAUAUAGCUCUAACCAUAGCUGAUUCAGCUAACAUUAUGGGAGUGGAGAUCGGCCUAAGGCUUCAGCCAUCAGGGGCGAGUUGACGAAAGCUUCGGCUGCUUGGCCUUUUGCCAGCCUAAUCCUGCAUUUUUGGUGUCCCCCCCUCCAAGCUCUCCAUCGGUGAAGCAUAUACUGGAUGUGUUUUGGAUCAUCAGAGGUGGUCUUGUGAAGAAUAUAAUGUUGAUGUGUAAAAUCUCUUUUAUGAUGAGAAUCACUAUAAUUUUACUCAACUAGUUUUCAUACCAAUGUGAUUGCAACUGACUAUAUUAAUUUUUCUAAACUAUAUCUAGCUAUAUUUUUGCAUAAACGUAACUUUUAGAAGUGAAUCUAAACAACAACGAUCACAAGAUUGAAAUUAUCGAAAGCUUGUCCAACACAUAUCGGUGUCUUGUGUACCAAGGAAUCCGAAAGCUGUCAAGUAACCCUGUUUCCUCUUAAAACCCUCUCCCUCCCUCCCUUUUUUUUUUUCUCAUUUACAAAUCGUAUGAUUAAUGUCCAAAGAAUACUUCGAAUUGGGAACAAAAGAGACACAAACGAGACAUAAAUUUUUUGAUACUAUAGGUUUCAGAACACUACAAUAGUGAAUCCUCGGUAUAUUAACGAGUUAAAGAUUUAUUCUUUGUUGAAAAGUCAAAAUAGCGAAUUAAAGAUGCAGCAACGCAUUUGCACUGAGUUUCGUCAUUCGUUUUAACUAUAUAUUGUAUUUCUUUAACCAAAAAAAGAGAGAGAGCUAUAUAUUGUAUUUCAAAAUGUUUCAUCAAAUGAAACUAUGAAAUACACGCGGUGAAGAAGCACGGCACUUCCAAGUUCCAUUUAGGCGUCAGCUAAGUCAAUCAGACACGUGGCACGUCACCAGCAAACAAGAGCACACGAAUUAAGUACCGAUUGUCCCUGAAUAGUUUACAUGGAACCUCCACGUGACAACACAAGCAAGAUAUUCGCGUAAUAUACAUAGGCCCAUCUCUUCAAGGAGUCGUAUGAAGACUGGCAUAAGAGAUAAUGUGGACAGCAUUAUAAAGAUGUAAGUAAAAAAGCAUUAUAAAGAAUUGAAGCGGCUCAGUUAAUUAACUACCACAACAUUCUCCACUUACCUAAGGUAACCGCAAAAUAUCAUCUCUACAGAUUAUAAAACAUAAAUAUUCCACGUGAUGCAUUACAAACUUCUCAAAUCCAGUUUCGCAUAAAAUGGAUUUGAAAUCAAAAGGCUUUAAUUACGAAUUGAAAUCAGGUAUAAAAUAUUUAACCGAAAUAAAAACUGUUCAGUAGUACAAAAUCAUCUGAUCCCAGUCUUCAAAAUGUUUCCCUAAAUCCGAUUAAACUCAUUCCUCUAUAUAAAUCAGAGACGUAAAAUCCCUAAAAUAAAGAGGGAAAAACAAUAGAUGGUCUUCAAAAUGAUUUCCUAAAUCCGAUUAAACUCAUCCCUCUAUAUACUUUAAUCAAGGACAUAAAAUCCUUAAACUAAAGAGGGGAAAACAAAAAAGAGUGAUUAACUUGUAUAUUCAUGGAUGAAGGCAAAACUCUUUCUUAAUCUUCGGAUUUCUUCUGCGGUAUUAGUUGUUGACAAAUGGCUUCACACGGUCAAUUUUAACGGCAAAGGAGAAUCCUGUUCUACUAGUAUAAAUAUAAUGGAUGGUCUUUAUUCAAUGAGAUCUUGGAAUUAAUUCCUAUGAUCUUGCCAUCCAUAUCGAAAAGAGGCCCUCCAGAAGUCCCCUGUAAAUCACAAAUCAAAUGUUACAAAAUAAUCUCUAAAAUAAUGUAAAAAAAAUUGUAAUUAUUUUGUUUUUACCUUGUUCGUAGCCACAUCUGUUUGGAAAUGCUCUAGUUUUGGACAACCAAAGCCGAGGUAUUGGAAAUGAUAUCCCAUUUCCUUAAGACGUCGAUCCACACAAAUAGCAUGUAGGAAAGUAUAAAACGAUACAUGAAUAAAAUUUAUGAAUUCUAUAAUAAUAACUAAGUUAGUAAAAGAAAUGUAACCAUCUGAUGAUAUCGAUAGUAACUGAUCGAGGGAGGGAAAUUGGGGAACCAAAAGCAAUGGUCCAAUCCUGUAGCAGUAAUGGUUGAUCCCUCCAUUGUCGAGAUUGAUGUUUUAGAAAGUAUAUGUAUUUCUGCAUAAAUUAUUUUGUUGUCCCUGCAUAAGUUAUUUCUGAUUAACUUUGUUUUUUGUGAUGCUAACAGAAGUUUAUAAGAAGAAAGGAGGCUCUUUUGGUUUGGGUAUAUGAUUAUUGAUAGCUAUGGUACAGUAAUUGCCAACUAUCACAUCUGUCACUGCCCGAGAGUACCUACUGAACAGAUCUUGCACUUUAAUCUUUACAUUGUUGGUGUGUGUUUUAUUUUCGUAAGGAUUCUUUGUUUGUGAUUUUAAUUAUACAUAUACUUUCUGAAACAUCAAUCUCCACAAUGGAGGGACCAACCAUUGCUGCUAUAUCAGCAAUGGUGUCCCUGCCAAAAGGUGGAGGAGAGAAGUGUAAACUGUUUUCCCUGACUUGAUGAAAAGACGAGCUCUGAGAUGUGCACUGGCGUUACAUACAAAACAUAUAGCUCCAAUCAAGGAAAAAUAUAACUGGAAUACCUUUGAGGGAUCGACUCUUUGAAAGUUUUUGAGGACUGAGAUAACGCGAUCUGUGACAUCAGAUUUGUCUAGAAACGAUCCUCUAACUUCGUCGGAGAAACGGCGAAGAAGAACGGUGAAAGGGAGAGCAGAUUCUCGAGCGCCAAUGUUAUGCUUUAGAAGUGAUGCUUUGACGUAGACUCUAAGGUGUCGAAUCAGAGCAUUUCUCGCCGCCAUCGCUGUGUUGCAGAAAGGAAACAACUAAAAAAAAAAAACCUAGAAGCACCUAGAAGCUUUUUCUGUGCUUGUGAAGACUCGAGAAAGGAGAUUUGCUAAGGUGUCAAAGUCCACGUAACAUGUAUGUACAUACUAUUAUAUUAAUGAAAGUUUGAACUCAGUUAUGCUAGUGGAAGCAUGUGUUUAAGAUUUAAUGCAAUACAGAUGGCGAAACAAACCAUGGCGUACUCUAAUCAAGCACUCCAGUUUCGUGCUGACCAGAAGAUUUACCACUUGCAGGUCAGUUCUAAUUUACAUUUAUGCUCUCAGAAAGCAGAAGUACAUGCUACAAUGUUCAUUUAAUCAUUUCCCUCUUUUGGUCCCAUGUCUUGUAAAAUUAUAUCUGUAUGGCACAGACUCCUCAAUCCCCCGUGGUGCGCACGAAAACAUACACCACGUACAGCAUUGAUGAGAAUCCAACAGGGACUAAUGCAAUAGUUGCUGUCCUGGCUCAUACUGGGUAAGAAAUUGUUUUGGCCCAUUUUCCAUUUUUGUUAUCAAGCAUUCAGAAGAAAUCUUUGGAUAUGGUGCUUAAGCGUAGUUGCAAGGAAUUUUUUUUUAUCUCCAACUUUAAUUUAAGCCUGGUCAUUGUCCUCUGCAUUCGUUUCUUUAUGAAACCCGGAAUAUUCUUGUAGUUGCAGCGAGGGGUUAAUUAUCAUCGUACAAAUUACUCAGCAUUUCCCUUCUGUGAAUUUCUUACCCUUGUCCUCAUAAUCUUGCAGACAGAAACUGUUGAUCUGUCAGAUCAGAGAAGCCGAUCGGAAAAUGCUCAUAAAAGUUUCAGGAGAAGAAAAUUUGACAAAUCAGCUCAUUCUUGUAUUGAUGCUGAUGAGUUACCAUAUGUUGGACAGGUAAAAUCAUUACUUUCCAUCCUCUUGAUGUGCUGUAGACUCAUUCUGUAAUUUUAGUUUCCUUGUUAACAUCCACAAAAACUCCGAUGCACAGAAAAUACAUCCAAAUGAGCCGUACUGUAGUAUCUAUGAUGGGGUAACUAACUCAAUAAAGACCAUGAAGCGAAAUGGCACCGACCCUGUCAUAGUUGACUUUGUCUCUGUGGACAUGAAAAGCAAGACGCAUCCUCAAAAGGUGAGGUUAACUCCUUCAACGGUCACAUAAACAGAGUCCGGUUUUGGUUAAUUCUAAUUUUUAAGGUUCAUUUGCAGGCGAAUAUUUAUGGGGCCUGUUUACUACCAAAGACUACGUCACAUGGUCUCAGACAAAUUCCAGGUUUUUGGAUCCCUCGGUAAAACUCUCCAAGUUGCACUUGUCUCAUCUUGGAGCUUUGUCUGAGUCAUAUAUUCUGGCUUUGCAGGUUAGAUCCAUAGGACUAGUGGAUCAGCUAACUCGUCAGCCAAUCAAGGGAAGGAAACGAGGUGGAGGGAUUCGAUUUGGUGAAAUGGAAAGAGACGCAAUGCUUGCUCAUGGAGCUUCGUAUCUAUUACACGACAGGCUCCACACCUCAUCAGAUCACCACAUUGCAGAUGUGUGUUCGCUAUGUGGAAGCUUGCUCACAUCUUCGGUUGUGAACGUUCAACAGAAGAAGCUGAUUCAAGAUAUUGGAAAGUUACCUCCUGGCAGGACUCCAAAGAAGGUAACUUGCGAUUCGUGCAAGACAAGCAAAGGGAUGGAAACUGUUGCAAUGCCAUAUGUGUUCAGGUACUUAGCUGCAGAAUUGGCGGCAAUGAAUAUUAAGAUGACUCUUCAGUUAAGCGGCAGAGAAGGAAGCAAUAGAGAAGGAAGCAAUAGAGAAGGAGUCUAAAUUCGCUUUCAUUUGAUGUUGUAUGUACAUCAAAGUUUUUGAGUUCUCAAAGACUGGAACAAAAUUGUCUGAAAAUUUUGACAGAUGAAGCAAGAACAAGAAUUAGAUCUCACAAUGUAACAGAGUUAUGUAGAAGAAGAAUACAUUGCUAUUAGUUUUGGUUUUGCUUCAUUAGUAUAUUUUUUUAUUCUGUGAAACGUUCUCUGGUUUUUGGUGGAAGUUAUCGUCUUAAACGUUGGUGUAUCAUUGGUAUGGAUAAAACCAAUGCAUUGGUGACAUGUUCAAUCAAAUAGCUCAAUUUUACCUUACUGGAAAUAGCCUCUGCAAUUUGAGUGAACCUUAGAACAUAAAUCCAAUUCCAUUUACUUCAAAGAUACGAGUUGAGAGAAAAAAGAGCUAUUACUUGCAAAUUAUACAUCUAAACAACCACUCUUUCUCCUCUUGCACUCACACGAAGCAAACACUGAAGCAAAAUACAGAUAAAAGUCGCUCACUUUCCGGGAACGAAGUUGGUGGCGAAGGCCCAAGCGUUGUUGUUGACUGGAUCGGCCAAAUGGUCAGCAAGGUUCUCCAACGGUCCCUUACCGGUGACGAUGGCUUGAACAAAGAAUCCGAACAUAGAGAACAUAGCCAAUCUCCCGUUCUUGAGCUCCUUCACCUUCAGCUCAGCGAAGGCCUCUGGGUCGGUAGCUAGGCCCAAUGGGUCGAAGCUGCCACCUGGGUAAAGCAAGUCAUCGGCCUCUCCCAACGGCCCAUUUCCGGCGACUCUGUAACCUUCAACGGCUCCCAUCAAGAUCACCUGAGUGGCCCAAAUCGCAAGAAUGCUCUGAGCGUGAACCAAGCUUGGGUUUCCCAAGUAGUCGAGUCCUCCUUCACUGAAGAUCUGUGAACCGGCCUUGAACCAAACCGCCUCUCCGAACUUGACUCCGUUCCUGGCCAGCAGCUCCGGGAAGACGCAGCCUAGGGCUCCGAGCAUGGCCCACCUGGAGUGGAUAACUUCUAGCUCACGGUUCCUUGCGAAUGUCUCAGGAUCGGCUGAGAGACCGGCUGUGUCCCAUCCGUAGUCUCCGGGGAACUCGCCGGUGAGGUAGCUUGGUGGCUCGCCGGAAAAUGGACCCAAGUACUUGACUCUGUCGGAUCCGUACCAUGGGCUGCCUGAUGGGCCCUUUGGUUUGGCUACGGUCUUCCUCAUCGUCACACGGCCGCUUCCGAGGACUUCUGAUGCCGCUGGAGAAAUCUUGACGGCCUUUCCGGCGAAGGCAGGGGAGGAGAGAGCCAUUGUUGAGGCAGCCAUUGCGGUUGAGUGCGGAGCAAAGUAAAAAAAAAACGUUUAUUUAGUUGUUGUUGUGAGCCAAGAAAUGGGUGGUUUGGCUUUGAUGAGCUUUUCGGUAUUUAUAAUAUAAAGUCGAAAUAAUGUCUUAUCUUAGA
rnacentral:lncRNA from 1 species